rnacentral:tRNA from 1 species
GGGCGGUUAGCUCAGUCGGCUAGAGCGCCUGCCUUACAAGCAGGAGGUCAUCCGUUCAAGUCGGAUACCGCCCA